rnacentral:tRNA from 1 species
GUGGGUACAGCUCAACGGUAGAGCGCAUGCUUAGCAUGCACGAGGUCCUGGGUUCAAUCCCCAGUACCUCCU